CAAAUUAAACACUCAGAUCUGAGUGCCUGUCUGACUCAGCUCACACACACACCACAAACACACACACACUCACACACACACUCUCUCACACACACACACACGCACACUCUCUCUCACACACACACACUCUCUCACACACACACACUCUCUCACACACACAGGGGUUAUUUUGCCCACAGGGGAGUUUAGUUAAUGGACGGCUUUAGCAGGACAGAGAAAUAUAAAAUCACACAAACCAGGUGGAAUGGUGAGGGUUUGGGUGAUGAAUUGAGAGUGAGGGCAUGUCUCUGUAUCUGCUUCUGAUGUUCCUAACACUGGCCUCACACACACAGGUGUCCUCGGCUCUGAAGGAUCUGAUGAAACAAUGGGAGACUUACAGGAACGAGUGCAUUCAGAACUUCAGGAACUCUCCACCCCCUGCAGGUUAUAAUCACAACACACACUCUGAUCUACUGAAUCGAAUAUCAAACACUGACCUUUCAUUUC
rnacentral:lncRNA from 1 species